rnacentral:rRNA from 1 species
AGAGUUUGAUCAUGGCUCAGAACGAACGCUGGCGGCAGGCCUAACACAUGCAAGUCGAACGCUCCGCAAGGGGAGUGGCAGACGGGUGAGUAACACGUGGGAACCUACCUCGAGGUGCGGAACAACCAAGGGAAACUUUGGCUAAUACCGCAUGUGCCCUUAGGGGAAAGAUUUAUCGCCUUGGGAUGGGCCCGCGUCGGAUUAGCUAGUUGGUGUGGUAAUGGCGCACCAAGGCGACGAUCCGUAGCUGGUCUGAGAGGAUGAUCAGCCACACUGGGACUGAGACACGGCCCAGACUCCUACGGGAGGCAGCAGUGGGGAAUAUUGGACAAUGGGCGCAAGCCUGAUCCAGCCAUGCCGCGUGUGUGAUGAAGGCCUUAGGGUUGUAAAGCACUUUCGCCGAUGAAGAUAAUGACUGUAGUCGGAGAAGAAGCCCCGGCUAACUUCGUG